CCUACGGGUGGCAGCAGUCGAGAAUCUUUCACAAUGGGGGCAACCCUGAUGGAGCGACGCCGCGUGGAGGAUAAGGUCUUCGGAUUGUAAACUCCUGUCAUGUGUGAACAAGGUUGUCUUGUUAAUAGCGAGGCAAAUUGAUGGUAACACAAGAGGAAGAGACGGCUAACUCUGUGCCAGCAGCCGCGGUAAUACAGAGGUCUCAAGCGUUGUUCGGAAUCACUGGGCGUAAAGGGUGCGUAGGUGGCGUGGAAAGUCAGAUGUGAAAGCCCGGGGCUCAACCUCGGAAUAGCAUCCGAUACGCCCAUGCUAGAGUACUGAAGAGGUGACUAGAAUGCUCGGGGUAGCAGUGAAAUGCGUAGAUAUCGAGAGGAAUACCAACGGCGAAGGCAGGUCACUGGGCAGUUACUGACACUGAGGCACGAAGGCCAGGGGAGCAAACGGGAUUAGAUACCCGGGUAGUC
rnacentral:rRNA from 1 species